GCCCAGUGACUACAAGUUAAACGGCCGCGGUAUCCUGACCGUGCAAAGGUAGCSCAAUCACUUGUCUUUUAAAUGAAGACCCGUAUGAAUGGUUAAACGAGGGCCUAACUGUCUCCCUGUUCUAGUCAAUGAAAUUGAUCUGCCCGUGCAGAAGCGGACAUAAACAUACAAGACGAGAAGACCCUUUGGAGCUUAAGAUAAAAGACCAACUAUGUCAAUAACCCCUAUAGAGACUAAACUAAAUAACCACUGGUCCAAAUCUUCGGUUGGGGCGACCACGGGAAAAAACGAAACUCCCAUGUAGAAAGGGAAACACCCCUAAAACUAAGAGAGACAUCUCUAAGAAACAGAACUUCUGACUAUUAAGAUCCGGCCACAUGCCGACCAACGAACCAAGUUACCCAAGGGAUAACAGCGCAAUCCCCUUCC
rnacentral:rRNA from 1 species